UACAGAGGGGGCAAGCGUUGUUCGGAAUUACUGGGCGUAAAGGGCGCGUAGGCGGCCUGUUAAGUCGAACGUGAAAUCCCCGGGCUCAACCCGGGAACUGCGUCCGAUACUGGCAGGCUUGAAUCCGGGAGAGGGAUGCGGAAUUCCAGGUGUAGCGGUGAAAUGCGUAGAUAUCUGGAGGAACACCGGUGGCGAAGGCGGCAUCCUGGACCGGCAUUGACGCUGAGGCGCGAAAGCCAGGGGAGCAAACG
rnacentral:rRNA from 1 species